GGUCUCAGGGCCCGCCCUGCUGAGUAGGGCGCCCGCGAGCGUGCCUGUCCGGUGGUGGUUGUGAGGUCGGAAGGAAAGCGGGACGCGAGGGAUGGGUGUGGCUCCGGGCCGGGCCUCGCGGAGAGCGAGCUGGGCCCACAGGAGGAGAUUAACACAUUCUCACAGACCUUUCAUUGUGUGCUCUGAUCCCCUGCCGGGAGGAAGAACCAACAUCGCUACCCACUUGUCCACACAGAAACACUGAGCUGCAGAGAACCUAGCCCAAGCUGACUGAAGACAGAGGAGGACCAGACUAUAGUCACGUGCCACCCUCCAGGCAUCGGCUGGAUCAUCGUCCUGCCUUAUUGACUCAAAGAGCUUGUCACAGAUAAACAGGUCACCUCUGGAUCGGGUCUGCUUUGGACAAUACCUUUCAUCAGCCCCCUCCUAAGCCUGAGAGACAUGGCCUGGCCACCUCUGGCUUUGCUCUGACCCAUUGGGUUGAAGCUGAGCAGACAGCGAGGUUUGACAGAUCUGACUUCAGGGGCUGCAGUGAGUUCAGAAAAGCAUGCACCCUCUCUCCAACCUAGGACCACCAGGUGAAGGGGAUGGGUUGCCCGGGGUGCUAUGGACUCAGUCCCCAAGGA
ensembl:processed_transcript RIKEN cDNA C130046K22 gene